UAACAAGGAUUCCCCUAGUAACUGCGAGUGAAGCGGGAAAAGCUCAAAUUUAAAAUCUGGUGGUUUUGUGGCCACUCGAGUUGUAAUCUGGAGAAGUGCUUUCCGUGCUGGACCGUGUACAAGUCUCUUGGAACAGAGCGCCAUAGAGGGUGAGAAUCCCGUCUUUGACACGGACUACCAGUGCUUUGUGAUGCGCUCUCAAAGAGUCGAGUUGUUUGGGAAUGCAGCUCAAAAUGGGUGGUAAAUUCCAUCUAAAGCUAAAUAUUGGCGAGAGACCGAUAGCGAACAAGUACCGUGAGGGAAAGAUGAAAAGAACUUUGGAAAGAGAGUUAAACAGUACGUGAAAUUGCUGAAAGGGAAACGCUUGAAGUCAGUCGCAUUGGCCAGGACUCAGCCUUGCUUUUGCUUGGUUUAUUUUCUGGUUAAUGGGUCAGCAUCAGUUUUGAUUGUCGGACAAUGACCAGAGGAAUGUGGCAUCUUCGGGUGUGUUAUAGCCUUUGGUCGCAUACGAUGGUUGGGACUGAGGAUCUCAGUGCACCUUUAUGGUCGGGGUUCGCCCACGCUUGCACUUAGGAUGCUGGCGUAAUUAUCCUGAA
rnacentral:rRNA from 1 species